AACGAACGCUGGCGGCAGGCUUAACACAUGCAAGUCGAGCGCCCCGCAAGGGGAGCGGCAGACGGGUGAGUAACACGUGGGAACAUACCCAUCUCUGCGGAACAACUCCGGGAAACUGGAGCUAAUACCGCAUACGCCCUUAGGGGGAAAGAUUUAUCGGAGAUGGAUUGGCCCGCGUUGGAUUAGCUAGUUGGUGGGGUAAAGGCCUACCAAGGCGACGAUCCAUAGCUGGUCUGAGAGGAUGAGCAGCCACAUUGGGACUGAGACACGGCCCAAACUCCUACGGGAGGCAGCAGUGGGGAAUAUUGGACAAUGGGCGCAAGCCUGAUCCAGCCAUGCCGCGUGAGUGAUGAAGGCCUUAGGGUUGUAAAGCUCUUUCACCGAUGAAGAUAAUGACGGUAGUCGGAGAAGAAGCCCCGGCUAACUUCGUGCCAGCCGCCGCCGUAACAC
rnacentral:rRNA from 1 species